UAGAGUCAGACAGGCAGACAGACAUAGAAACAAGAUGGCUCACACAUUUCCAGUGCGUUGCACUGUCGUUGUUGUUGCUGAUGCUCUAAGCUUUGCUGUAUGAUUUGCAUCUUCACCUUUGCUCCAUGGCGACUACAGUCUUGCUGUUGAAACUAGCAUGCAUUCGCAAGCACCAGCAAGAAUAUGCGUGUGAAGCAGCGGAGGUUUAGUUGGCAUCGUGAUUGCAGACCUGGCUUCCUUGGUUUCAGCCAAUUGUUUGUCAGCAACGUGCAAUGGCAAUGUGGGGGCGAUGAGAGGAAAGGCAUUCUGGUGUUUGCUGGGGUGAAUAUGCCAGGAUUCUGGUGAUUGUCCAUGUCUCACUCACUUUCACGCUUCUUCAUGGGUACCCAAUUGUGGUAGUCGUUUGGUUUUCGUUUUCGAAACCCAGACACGUUCUCAUGCACCGCAUACUGCAUGCCACUCGUGAAAUUGCGGAAAUUGGUUUUCACGUUUCUGAGUUGUUGAAGAAGCACGUUGGCAGUGCUCUCAAAUUGCUGCAGGUAGCCUGGCCGUGCCGCCGAGGUUGCGUUGCAACGAUUUCUGAUGCAGGGACCGGAACAUGAGCACAAGGCUGGAUCACUUCGUAAAAGGGGCACAUUUUGAUUACUUCAUGUGUGAAUGCAGAGCCCUUCUUUCCGCAGAACUAUGUACUGCAGUGCGACAACACUGUGAAGGGAAUGUAUGUAUAUUCACAUAAUCCAGGUGAGAUUUUGAACAUUUCAUUGUUAAAGGUGACUUUUGACAUUUGACAUUGUCACCUUUUCUAACGCAGAUGAAAAGCAGGAUUCGACAUUCAAAUCACAUAAAUGUAGGGAUUGCAAGACAAGUCGCAAUGCUGUAAUUCAUACGAGUGUUGUGUCACAUGCUCUGGUUAGAUCUUUUGUGGUUCGGAACGUCCUUUGGGCUUAAGAUUCAGAUGGAUCUUUAAGUUGCAGUGAAGACGAAAAUUGCACGACAUGCAACUGCACGUGAGUUUUGUUUUGUUUUGUUUUUUUUUUUUAUGAUAAUAUCCGGCUAGCUUUGUAUUAUCUUCACCCUUCAGCCGCUCUCAACAGGACAUGUAUUGACUUGGUAUAUGCAUUGUGAUGUGCUUAGUUUGUGCAACAGUUCUGUAGGUCGCUGUUGCUAUAAUGCUGAGUGUAGUACAAUCCAUGAAUCACUUCGAUGCUCAUUUUAUAUGGCAAGGGAAGUAUGGAUGUUUUCUGCUAAUUAAUGCUCAUGAUUCGGAUUCACAACAAUGCUUAAGUGAUUAAAGAACAGCACUGCCUUCAAGAAAGAUCUGCUCUACCGGGUUUGAGUAUGUGAUUCAUGCUACAUAUUCAUUCAACAUUCUGUAGCAGUUAAAGCAGAACUGGUUCUGGAAUUCCUAUUUGAAAAUCUCCUUGAAGUUUGACUGCAAGUGACGCAGUGAACUGCCGGAUGUUUGAAUCAUUGACGACAGGUACAUGUUUACAUUCUCCAACCCUGGCGUCUAUAUCUGUAUUCCCUUGGUAUUCGUUUGUUAUCAAGACAUCAUAAGACCUCCUCACAUGUGUUGGUUCAACUCCACAAUCCUUACCUUUUUGGUAUAGAUUCAAGUUGACAAUCACGGGUUUCAUACUUCAGAUCCAGUUGCCCAUGAAACAGGCAACCAAAUGCACUGUUCUGAUAGUUGUGAAGAGUACAAGGAUUUCUGUCACUGGACGGAUUCAACUGUCUAUUAUGCAGGUAAGGAUCAUCUUGGGACAGGAUCUGCUUUACGUGGACUCUCUUGGAGAUGAAACUUACAUCUCUUUCUAAAUCUGCAAAACAAGCUUCUAGAUUGAAGUUGAAAAUACACAAAACAUGAACUGUGCGUUUUACUGCAGAAGGAAUUUGGGUUGAAGAUGGAUUGUUUUGUACUCUAACCUCCAGAGAGUGCUGAAACGCACUUCAAAUGGAGUUCAACACCUCUGAUGUUGUAUCUCAUCAUUGCACUGAUUUGCAAUAGUUGUGCAUUAUGAAUAUUGUAGGAAGGAAUAUUCGUUCCUACAAUAUGUGCAUUAUGAAUAUUGUCGUUCACUAAGAAGAAUUCUUUUUUCGUUCUUUUUGCAAUUCGCCACUAUUUUCGCACUUAAUGAAUCUGCAUUUCAACUUAAUCGUCUUCUUAUUGAAGUUGGCAUCAACAGAAGCACCAUGGAUUGCUAUUUUUACUGUUAUCUAUUUCACAUUAGAACGAAGAUAUCGUUGCAAUGAAUUCGCGCAUCAAUACACGUAUUGUGACAUUGAAUAGUACCAACAUGAGCACUUUAUCAGAAUAUAAAAAGAGUAAAGUGCUGUAUUUUGCCAGCUUUGGCUCAGAUCAAGUAAGAGAGUUUGUCAGUGGGGUACCCAAGCAGAUGGCAUUCUUCUCUUAUUUGUCUGUCACAUUCUGUAAAUCCAAGCUAGUUCUACUCACAGAAAAAAUCGAACAUUUUUUAAAUAUAUAUUUGCAAUCUCAAGGCACAUGCGUGUACAGAAGUUGAGCUAGCUAACAAAGGUUUGUGACUACGGUUAUUAUCCUUUAACUAAUCAGCUCAUUCUUGUGCUUGGUCAA